UUUGCAUGUAAUCCAAAUUUCUGUUCUGCCGAAUUCCGGAAUAUAAAAACAUCUUUAUCUGCAAGAGAAUCGUAUGGCGACGAUGCUAUCGGAUACGUGCAACUACAAAGGACUCAAGCUUUAUGUACUAUAAAGUGUACAAUAUGUCCGGAACAUAAAGUUCGUUCCAAACCAUAUUCUGCAACUCUCAUUGUAGAUGAGCAAGAAGAUGAUGUGCUACAGGUGACAUGCCAUGAUUGUCCUGCGUCUGCCGGUGGAUGUAAACAUGCUGUGGCGUUUUUAAUGUGGUGUCAUCGUAGAAGUGAAGAGCCAUCAUGCACUUCAGUCCAAUGUUAUUGGAAAAAAUCGACACUAUCAAAGGUCGGAUCUUCAAUAAAAAUUAUGACAACGAAAGAAAUGACAAAAAAGAAGCUAAAAAGUGCUGAAACUAGUAUAGGUGACAGUGUAGUUGAAGAUUUUUUAAUUGAAUCUAAAAAAAGAAAAAUUACUUCUUGUCAAUAUUUAAAGCAUGAAAAUGAUUUUGUUUGCAAAAAAAGUAAUACACUGUCACUACAUUACCUGAUGUGUAGUAACAACACCAAUAAAUGUGAUGAUUUCCUAAACCUAAUAGGUAAAGUUUUCAAUGAUAUAAAUAUCAGAAAUGUUGAGAAACAAACUAGAAACCAACAUAAGAGUGGAUUAUGGUAUGAGUUACGUUAUGGGAGAAUCACGGCUUCAAAAUGCUUUGAAGUCAGUAGGUGUAAAACCACUGAUGGUUCUUUGGUUGCCACCAUUCUUGGAGGAAGAACCAUCGAAACUACUGCAAUAAAGCGAGGCAGAAAUUUGGAAGACAGUGUGCGAAAAAGUGUGGAGAAAAAAUUGGGGAAAAAAAUAGAAAAAUGUGGAUUAUUUAUUUCCGAAGAGAAUCCUAUGAUUGCAGGUUCGCCAGAUGGCAUUUGUGAAAAAAAUACUACGAUUGAAAUUAAGUGCCCAAGUACCAAAAAAACUGAAAAUAAAUAUAUUAAAGACGGUGCUAUCACUAAACAACACUAUGCUCAAGUACAAGUACAAAUGUAUUGUGCAAAAGUGAAUAAAAGUUAUUUCUGUGUCGCAAGUAGUGGUUUCGAAAAGGACAAUAAAGUGAAUAUUAUAGAGAUUGCAUAUGAUCAAAUAUAUGUGUCAGAACUGCUCCACAGUGUUAUUUCAUUUUGGAAAAGAAAUAUUUUUCCCAUUUUAUAUGAAACUGUACAAACAUAAUAAAAAAAAAGAACUUUAAAUAAUAA